AACACUGAAACGGUUUGAAAUUGAUUUCAUGUCAUUUAUUUUGUUAUUAUUUUUUUAGCCCCCAUGUUACUAAAGAUAAUGCUCAUCCUCCAGUGACUAAACUGCAACUAAAACUGGACAACAUAUGUCUGUGGGCUUUAAUACAGUAUAUAUGGCAGCAGCAUGCAUUAUGUGUCCGUACUGAAUUGUACUCUGUGCUGAUUUUACUCCUUUAUACAUAUUCUAACUUGAAAGCUAUUCCUUGUCCUUGUAAUGUGAAUCUUUCCAUGGUUGUCAAACUUAUGUGGAUUUUAAUGCUGCACAUGAAUUGCCUUCUGGGGACAAUAAAGAGCUAAUGAAAGUAAAAGUGUUCUUAUUUAAUGUUAUUUAAUUGAACAAUGACAGCACAAUCCAACUUCAGAGGCUGGAAUUUAAUGAUUGAACCACUGGAAUAUAACAAUAGGAGGAUAACAAUUUGAAUCACUUGUUCAAAUCAGAAUCAAAUCAGAAAUCCUUGGGCUGUGUUAAUGGACCCUGCCAGGCUCAGGUCUGGAUGCAGGCAUCUAGUUAAUAGGUGGGUUGAUUAUCUUAGCUGGGCUGUUUCGAUGUGGAGUUGAAUAUCUAACCUGAGGAAAUUUCAGUGUUGGAGUAAAUGAUCUUCCAGGGACUGGGUUAAUAGGCUGUGUUGAUUGUCUUAGCAGAGGAUGCAUCAGAGUAGCAGUUGAUUAUCUCUAUAAAGUGAAGUUCACUUAACUGCGGACCUAUUGGUGUGGGAGUUCAUUAUCUCACUGAGAAAAUAUCAGUAUGGGAGUUAAUUAUUCUCCCUGGGCUGUGUCAAUGGGGAGUUGGUUAUCUUAGCUGAGGACAUAUCGGCGAGAGAGUUCAUUAUCUUUACUGGACAGUUUUAAUGUUUCGCUGAGGAAAUUUCAAUGUUGUCAGUUGUCUUCCUGGAGCUGUAUUAAUAUGGAGUCUAUAAUCCACAUCAUAGCCUGGAAAAUCGGACGCAUUUGUGUUUUAAACAUUAAAUAUUUUCCACUUCUCCAUGGUAUGAAAACUGCCAUGCUUGUAAAACGUUUGAGAUUAAAGCUUCAUGCCACCAUUUCAAAAGCGGCUUUUCAAACUCGACUUAAGGGUUUAUCAUUGUAACAUUAAGAAUGGGAGUGCAUCAGCGCAGAUUCUUUUGUUAAAAUUACCAAAAUGUUGUCAUUAUUUUAAAGUACAGUGCUGUUGUAUGACAUUUCAUUAAUUAUUUUCUUAACGAUGGCUCCAAUCCGGGCCGUCUGUAUUAAACGAGUAGGAAUGCUGGCUCCGUCUUGUGGACAUAAAACGCACCUGCAACAGAGUACCCGAAUGUCCGCGCACCUGUCAUCAAUCACCAUUAAAGCACGGGUAAAACACAGCUCUCGGCUACGUUUAGGAACACAAAUUCGGUUGUUGUGGAGGAAGUUGAGCUGAGCAGACUCGGGGAGUGCUUCGGAGGCAUCGGUGCUGGGCUUCAUAUGUCCCCUGAUUCAGAAUGCUGCUCCCCGACUUGUCUUCAACCUUCCCAAGUUCUCCCAAGUCACUCCUCUGCUGAGUUCACUCCACUGGCUACCGGUCGCUGCCAGGACCAGGUUCAAAGUCCAGAUCCUCGCCUACCCUGCAGCCAACAGGACGGCCCCCGGCUACUUACAGGACAUGAUUCAAUCCUACACGCCAGCUCGACCACUUCGCUCUGUGGAAACAGGGCCACUUGCACCCCUGCCAUUCGGAUGAAUCUGGGAUAAUUUUUAUCACUUAAAUUCCCCUCUUUUAUGCUACACAUGUACCUCCUCUGCCAAUUUCAUGUUACCUGUACCGCCAUCCAGCACUUAUACUGUACUUUGUAACAUUAUCUUAAUGUUGUAGCUUGUCAUGCCUCCUAGUUUUACUUAGCAGAGGUUAGGUCAGAGUAAUGUUGUAAUGUAAUGUGUGAACUGGACUUAACGUGUUCAUGGCUAUGAAUAACUGUUACAAAAUGAGUAUUGUGCCUUAUUGGAUCUGUGUUCUCUAGUUGUUCCAAUGACCUUCUUUAUGCACUUAUUGUAGGUCACUUUGGAUAAAAACGUCUGCCGAAUAAUGCAAUGUAAUGUCAGGAGUUUGCCUCCUCCUGCUGGACAGAAAAUGGCAUUACAGCAGAGGAAAUCCGAUUUAAAAAAUGUUGCAAUGAACAAGUCGAUUUGUAUGGUUAUCAAAUGUAUGUGGAUUUUAAUGCUGCACACAAGUUGCCCUCUGGGGAUAAUAAAGAUCUACUGAAAUCGAAA